GAUGAACGCUGGCGGCGUGCUUAACACAUGCACGUCGAACGAAGCACUUAAGAUUGAUUCUUCGGAUGACGUCUUUUGUGACUUAGUGGCGGACGGGUGAGUAACGCGUGGGUAACCUGCCUCACACAGGGGGAUAACAGUUAGAAAUGACUGCUAAUACCGCAUAACCCGAUAGGAUCGCAUGAUCCAGACGGAAAAGAUUUAUCGGUGUGAGAUGGACCCGCGUCUGAUUAGCUAGUUGGUGAGGUAACGGCCCACCAAGGCGACGAUCAGUAGCCGGCCUGAGAGGGUGAACGGCCACAUUGGGACUGAGACACGGCCCAAACUCCUACGGGAGGCAGCAGUGGGGAAUAUUGCACAAUGGGGGAAACCCUGAUGCAGCGACGCCGCGUGAGUGAAGAAGUAUUUCGGUAUGUAAAGCUCUAUCAGCAGGGAAGAAAAUGACGGUACCUGACUAAGAAGCCCCGGCUAACUACGUG
rnacentral:rRNA from 1 species